CAGCCGCCGCGGUAACACGGAGGAUCCAAGCGUUAUCCGGAAUCAUUGGGUUUAAAGGGUCCGUAGGCGGUCUUGUAAGUCAGUGGUGAAAGCCCAUCGCUCAACGGUGGAACGGCCAUUGAUACUGCAGGACUUGAAUUAUUGGGAAGUAACUAGAAUAUGUAGUGUAGCGGUGAAAUGCUUAGAGAUUACAUGGAAUACCAAUUGCGAAGGCAGGUUACUACCAAUUGAUUGACGCUGAUGGACGAAAGCGUGGGUAGCGAACAGGAUUAGAUACCCCGGUAGUCCCUGUCUCUUAUAA
rnacentral:rRNA from 1 species